GGGGAUGCUGGCGUGGGCACCCUACAUGCUAAAAUUGGAACAAUACUGAGAUGAUGACCAUGGCCUCUGUGCCAGGAUGACACACACAUUUGUGAAGCGUUCCAUAUUUAG
ensembl:snRNA U6 U6 spliceosomal RNA